AUUGAACGCUGGCGGCAGGCCUAACACAUGCAAGUCGAGCGGAUGAAGCGAGCUUUCUCCUGGAUUCAGCGGCGGACGGGGGAGUAAUGCCUAGGAAUCUGCCUCGUAUUGGGGUAUAACGUCCUCAAACGGGCGCUACUACCGCAUACGUCCUGCUGCAGCAAGUUGGGGGUCUUCGGACCUUAUGCUAUCAGAUGAACCUAGGUCGGGUUAGCUAGUUUGUUGGGUAAGGGCCUACUAAGGCGGCCAUCGGUAACUAGUCUGAGAGGGUGGUCAGUCACACUGGAGCGUAAACAGGGUCAAGGGUCCUGCGGGAGGCAGCAGUGGGGAAUAUUAGGCAGUAGGCGGGAGCAUGACACAGCGAUGGCACGUGUGUGGAAGAGGUGUUCGGAGUGUAAAGCACUUUAUGUGGGGAGGAAGCGCAGUAAGUUGAUACCUUGCUGUAUUGACGUUAACGGGAGAAUAAGCACCGGCUAACUUCGUG
rnacentral:rRNA from 1 species